rnacentral:rRNA from 1 species
GAGUGAACGCUGGCGGUAGGCCUAACACAUGCAAGUCGAACGGCAGCACAGUAAGAGCUUGCUCUUACGGGUGGCGAGUGGCGGACGGGUGAGGAAUACAUCGGAAUCUACUUUUUCGUGGGGGAUAACGUAGGGAAACUUACGCUAAUACCGCAUACGACCUACGGGUGAAAGCAGGGGAUCUUCGGACCUUGCGCGAUUGAAUGAGCCGAUGUCGGAUUAGCUAGUUGGCGGGGUAAAGGCCCACCAAGGCGACGAUCCGUAGCUGGUCUGAGAGGAUGAUCAGCCACACUGGAACUGAGACACGGUCCAGACUCCUACGGGAGGCAGCAGUGGGGAAUAUUGGACAAUGGGCGCAAGCCUGAUCCAGCCAUACCGCGUGGGUGAAGAAGGCCUUCGGGUUGUAAAGCCCUUUUGUUGGGAAAGAAAAGCGGCAGGUUAAUACCCCGCUGUUCUGACGGUACCCAAAGAAUAAGCACCGGCUAACUUCGUG